UUGUUCUUGGCCAAGGCACGAGGGAAGUUGCUACCUUUGUUGACCUUGUCAGAGGCAACAUGAGAAGUGCAAAUGAAAGUGCUGUGUGCGGUACUGCCAAGUUCACCGCUGGCAGAGAGAUGUCAAAAAAGUCUGGUGCUCAGAUAGACGAGGAGGGCAUUCAAGUUGCAGUUUGCAGACAUGGGUUUCUCUUACGAGGACUGAACCAUUACCGUGGAGAAAUAUUUGCUUACCCAAUGUUUCUUCAAAGA